rnacentral:rRNA from 1 species
CCUACGGGAGGCAGCAGUGAGGAAUAUUGGUCAAUGGACGAGAGUCUGAACCAGCCAAGCAGCGUGAAGGAUGACUGCUCUAUGGGUUGUAAACUUCUUUUAUAUGGGAAUAAAUCAGGGUAUGCAUACCCGCUUGUAAGUAUCAUAUGAAUAAGGAUCGGCUAACUCCGUGCCAGCAGCCGCGGUAAUACGGAGGAUGCAAGCGUUAUCCGGAUUUAUUGGGUUUAAAGGGUGCGUAGGUGGAUUGAUAAGUCAGUUGUGAAAGCUUGGGGCUCAACUGCAGAAUUGCAGUUGAAACUGUCAGUCUAGAGUACAGUAGCGGUAGGCGGAAUGCAUGGUGUAGCGGUGAAAUGCAUAGAUAUC